ensembl:miRNA gga-mir-1688 gga-mir-1688
AGGACUGUCUGGCAGCCAAUCACCAGGGCCACCUGCCCAUGGGUGAGCAUGGUAGAGACAAUGAUGGUACU